GAGCUACCAUGCAGUCGGACGGUAGCACAGAGAGCUUGGUCUCUCGUGAGAAGUGUGGGACGCGUGAGUAAUGUGUGGGGAUCUGCCCGAUAUAGGGGGAUAUCCCCUGUGGACGGUGUGUCAUACCGCACAACGUCUCAAGAGCAAAGAGGGGGAGCUUCUGGCCUCUCACUAUCUGAUGAGCCCCCAUGGGAUUUUCUAUUAUGCGGGGUAACGCCCCCCCUAUGCGACAAUACCUAUCUGGGCUGAGAGGAUGACCAGCCACACUGUGACUGAGACACGGUCCACACUCCUACAGGAGGGAGCACUGGGGAAUAUUGUGCAAUGGGCGCAAGCCUGAUGCGCCCCUGUCGCGUGUGUGAAAAAAGCCUUCUGGUUGUGAAGUACUUUUUCCGGGGAGAAAAGCGGUGAGGUUAAUAACCUUACUGAUUGAGGUUUCCCCCACAAAAAACACCGGCUAACUCUCUGCCCCCACCCCCGGGAAUAUAGAGGGUGCGAGCGUUAAUCUCAAUUACUGUGCGUAAAGCGCACACACGCGGUCUGUGAAAUCACAUAUGAAAUCUCCGGGCUUAACCUGUGAACUGUGUUUGAGACUGUGAGGCUUGAGUCUCUCAGAGAGGGGUAGAGUUCUCCGUGUGUCGCUGAAAUGCGUAGAGAUCUGGAGAAAUACCGGUGGGGAAAGCGCCGCCCUGUGCGAAAACAGAGACUCUCGUGCGAGAGCGUGUGGAGCGCACAGAAUUAUAUACCCUGUGAGUCUACGCCCCAUACAAUGUGUACAUGUGGGUUGUUCUCUUGUGGAGUGGCUCCUGGAGAUCUCACGUUAAGACUACCCCCUGGGGGAGACACCCGCAAGGUUUAACUCUCAUGUAUUGUCAGGGGCCCCCACAACGCUGGAGAUGUGUUUUUAUUCUAUGCACACGAAAACCUCACCUACUCUUGUCAUCUCCAGAAU
rnacentral:rRNA from 1 species